GUGGGGAAUAUUGGACAAUGGGCGCAAGCCUGAUCCAGCCAUGCCGCGUGUGUGAAGAAGGCCUUCGGGUUGUAAAGCACUUUUGUCCGGGAAGAAAUCUUCCAGGUUAAUACCCUGGGAGGCUGACGGUACCGGAAGAAUAAGCACCGGCUAACUUCGUGCCAGCAGCCGCGGUAAUACGAAGGGUGCAAGCGUUACUCGGAAUUACUGGGCGUAAAGCGUGCGUAGGUGGUUCGUUAAGUCUGCCGUGAAAGCCCCGGGCUCAACCUGGGAAUGGCGGUGGAUACUGGCGGGCUAGAGUGCGGUAGAGGGUGGUGGAAUUCCCGGUGUAGCAGUGAAAUGCGUAGAGAUCGGGAGGAACAUCUGUGGCGAAGGCGGCCACCUGGACCAGCACUGACACUGAGGCACGAAAGCGUGGGGAGCAAACAGGAUUAGAUACCCGGGUAGUCC
rnacentral:rRNA from 1 species